UACGUAGGGUGCGAGCGUUGUCCGGAAUUAUUGGGCGUAAAGGGCUCGUAGGCGGUUUGUCGCGUCGGGAGUGAAAUCCACUGGCUUAACUGGUGGCUUGCUUUCGAUACGGGCAGACUGGAGGUAUGCAGGGGAGAACGGAAUUCCUGGUGUAGCGGUGAAAUGCGCAGAUAUCAGGAGGAACACCAAUAGCGAAGGCAGCUCGCUGGGACGUUACUGACACUGAGGCGCGAAAGCGUGGGGAGCAAACAGG
rnacentral:rRNA from 1 species